ACCUUCCGUAGGUGAACCUGCGGAAGGAUCAUUA
rnacentral:rRNA from 1 species